AUGAACGCUGGCGGCGUGCCUAAUACAUGCAAGUCGAGCGAACAGACGAGGAGCUUGCUCCUCUGACGUUAGCGGCGGACGGGUGAGUAACACGUGGAUAACCUACCUAUAAGACUGGGAUAACUUCGGGAAACCGGAGCUAAUACCGGAUAAUUUAUUGAACCGCAUGGUUCAAUAGUGAAAGACGGUUUUGCUGUCACGUAUAGAUGGAUCCGCGCCGCAUUAGCUAGUUGGUUAGGUAACGGCUUACCAAGGCAACGAUGCGUAGCCGACCUGAGAGGGUGAUCGGCCACACUGGAACUGAGACACGGUCCAGACUCCUACGGGAGGCAGCAGUAGGGAAUCUUCCGCAAUGGGCGAAAGCCUGACGGAGCAACGCCGCGUGAGUGAUGAAGGUCUUCGGAUCGUAAAACUCUGUUAUUAGGGAAGAACAAAUGUGUAAGUAACUAUGCACGUCUUGACGGUACCUAAUCAGAAAGCCACGGCUAACUACGUG
rnacentral:rRNA from 1 species